UACGGAGGAUCCAAGCGUUAUCCGGAUUUAUUGGGUUUAAAGGGUGCGUAGGCGGCCUGUUAAGUCAGGGGUGAAAUUUUUCGGCUCAACCGGAAGCUUGCCUUUGAUACUGAUGGGCUUGAUUACACUUGAGGUAGGCGGAAUGUGACAAGUAGCGGUGAAAUGCAUAGAUAUGUCACAGAACACCGAUUGCGAAGGCAGCUUACUAAGGUGUCAAUGACGCUGAGGCACGAAAGCGUGGGGAUCAAAC
rnacentral:rRNA from 1 species